GAUGAACGCUGGCGGCGUGCCUAAUACAUGCAAGUCGAGCGAACGGACGAUGAUCUUGCUGCUCUCGUGUUAGCGACGGACGGGUGAGUCACGCGUGGAUAACCCACCUAUAAGACUGAUAUCACGGCGGGAAACCGGAGCUAAUACCGGAUAAUAUUUUUAACCGCAUGGUUCAAAAGUGAAAGACGGUCUUGCUGUCGCUUUUAGAUGAGUUCGCGCUGCAUCAGCUAGUUGGGAGGGUGACGGCUUACCAAGGCGAGGAUGCGUAGCCGGCCUGAGGGAGUGGACGGCCGCACUGGGACUGAGGGGCGGCCCAGACUCCGACGGGUGGCAGCAGGGGGGAAGAUUGAACAAUGGGCGCAAGGCUGGUGCAGCGAGGCCGCGGGGGGGAAGACGGCCUUCGGGUGGUAAAAUCCUUUCGCUAGGGACGAAGCUUUUUGUGACGGUACCUAGAGAAGAAGCACCGGCUAACUACGUG
rnacentral:rRNA from 1 species